GACGAACGCUGGCGGCGUGCUUAACACAUGCAAGUCGAACGAAGUGGCGAACGGGUGAGUAACGCGUAAUCAAACUGCCCUUCAGAGGGGGACAACAGUUGGAAACGACUGCUAAUACCGCAUACUGAAGGAGGGGAUUGCGUCUGAUUCGCUAGUUGGAGGGGGAACGGCCCACCAAGGCGAUGAUCAGUAGCCGGUCUGCGAGGAUGAACGGCCACAUUGGGACUUAGACACGGCCCAGACUCCUACGGGAGGCAGCAGGGGGGAAUCUUCCGCAAUGGACGAAAGUCUGACGGAGCAACGCCGCGUGAGUGAUGACGGCCUUCGGGGUGUAAAGCUCUGUUAAUCGGGACGCGGUACCGGAAUAGAAAGCCACGGCUAACUACGUGCCAGCAGCCGCGGUAAUUC
rnacentral:rRNA from 1 species